AUACGUAGGGUGCGAGCGUUGUCCGGAAUUAUUGGGCGUAAAGAGCUUGUAGGCGGUCCGUCGCGUCGGAAGUGAAAACUCAGGGCUUAACCCUGAGCCUGCUUUCGAUACGGGCAGACUUGAGGGAUGUAGGGGAGAACGGAAUUCCUGGUGGAGCGGUGGAAUGCGCAGAUAUCAGGAGGAACACCAGUGGCGAAGGCGGUUCUCUGGACAUUUCCUGACGCUGAGAAGCGAAAGCGUGGGGAGCAAACAGGCUUAGAUACCCUGGUAGUCCACGCCGUAAACGGUGGGCACUAGGUGUGGGACCCUUCCACGGGUUCCGUGCCGUAGCUAACGCAUUAAGUGCCCCGCCUGGGGAGUACGGCCGCAAGGCUAAA
rnacentral:rRNA from 1 species